AUCACAUAAAGUCUCCCCUUUCCCCUAGCUAAAAAAACCCAGUGGUAAUUAAAUAAAUGACAGUUUUCUGUCUGAGGGGGCCACCUCUUAUGCUCUCACUGAAGGGAUCCUUUUGAGAGGAGGUUCCACAGGACCACACGACACAGGGGAGGAGACCUCAGCUGAAGACCCUGGACCUUUGUUGUGAAUAGAUGGCAUAACUGUUUCUUCAAGAAAAGAAGAAAAGGUUAUGCUCAGAGACAGAUAUUGAGAAAAGGACUCUUCCCAGCAAAAGAAAGUGGCACAGAAUGAAGACAUAACCAGGGCUUCAAGUGGCCUGAUGACAUGUCUAUCUGCAGCAGAGUAGACAGCAGAGUCCUCCUCAGGGUUAGGGGUUUUCUUUAAGUGGGACCUUCCUCCUGGACAGUAUUUAUGAUGAAAUACUUCAACUGAGGGCUGACAGAAGCUCCCCAUUGCAGCUGGAGUAGCUGCUUAAAACGGCGUAUUUAUUCGGACACUAUCAGUCACUCAGUUCUAGGCCUCUCUGCAUAUGAUCUGUGCUUUGUUUUCUGGCUCUUCUUCUGGGCUCCUGUCACCUGGUCUGCCAGUUUACUGUGUGUACCCUUACUGGUUUGGAUGUCGGAUUGUUCAGACUUUGCCACUGAGAUCCUUCCACAAGAUACUACACCAGUCUGCUUUCUGUGUUAAGAACUGCUCUGCCCCAAUGGAUUCUUCAGCAUCAGAUAUUGGCCCUUGUCUAAAGACCUCCACGCCAUCAAUAUUUGAUUUGGAUACAAAAUCCACAGAAAUAAUUAAAAUACCAUGUUUUCCUAUGUGUUCCCGAUUCAUGUCUGUACAUCUGCAAAUCAGAAGGAAGUUGUACAAUUUGUACAUGAGAGUGUACAUUUUUUCAGAGUUCAGAGCUCUGGCUAUGACCUAUAAAGUCCUAUAGUUGAAUCCGGACUAUUAGAGACCCUACUGUUCCAUAUGACCUUCCCAGAGUUGUCUUUGGGUGGGAGGGCCUUCACUCAUUCUGUCACACUCAGAAGUGCAGACACAAGAACUCUUUCCUGUGGGAGGCUCAGCUGGCCCAUUCCCUCUUGCCUCCCAACAUCAGACAAAUAUAUUCUUAUUCAGAUGAACUUUUCUCUGGCUGGUGAGAAAGGGGCCUUUAAUGGGAAAGCA
rnacentral:lncRNA from 1 species